rnacentral:lncRNA from 1 species
GCCGGGGUUCUGCGGGGAGCGUCCCCGCCCCGACGCGUGGGUCCCCGCCUCCCGCGGCCGCACCGCCCCCGGCUCCGCCCGCUCAGCCCGGCUAACGGUCGGCGAGGCCUGCCACGAGGGAGCGUCCGCGGCCCGCGCACAGCCGCGCACCAAGCCGAUGGCGUGGAUGCAGCCGGGGGCCCGCGCGUGGGCCGCCAGAGCUUGAGGCCCGCCAGGCGGGUGCUGCGGUCCGCGUGCGGGAAGGCACGUGGGCGUGUCUCCCGGGCCCACGCGUGUCCCCUGCAUCACUGUCUCGGCUCUCGUCCAGGACGACGACUUCUGAAAGCGAGCCAAGGAGAAUCGCGGUUCGUAACAGAGCCUCUGACUGCCUGUUGGAAGGAGGUGAUUCGGAAGACAGCGAGGGGUGCUUUCUCCAGGGUGACUGACCAGCAGCCCAGCACAGGGGAAGACUUGCCCAAUGGCCUUGGUUUAUACAGACCAGCAACAGUCUGCCUGGAGCAAGUGAGACGUCGUUUCUUUUCCUGGUCUCAGCCCGAGCUUUAUUUGCUUUCGGAAACCCUGGCCAGGCCCAUCCCUUCCCUUCCCACCACGCUAGGUUGGCUGCUGCGUUCUCUGCAGCUGUUGCUGAGGCUCACACAGAGUAGAAGACUCUACUACAUUUGGGAUGGCAUCUCUGAUAAUUUACUCAUGUGUGGUUUUGUCUUGAAACCUACUGCUGGCAUUGAAAUCUAAGAUUCCUGAAAAACAGCAUUGGACUCCAACUGCAUCUUCGGG